GCGCACAGCCGGUCACAACAAGCUGCAAGCAAGCACCCACAUUUUCUUCAUGGCCGAGCGAGUGGUGCAAAGCUUUUAGGACAUACAUAUUGAUUGGGAGAAACGGACUAACACCGACAUGCUUCGUAAGGACAGGAGGAGGAAGCAGCGACAGAAAGAGCUACAUGAGGCAGCUAAAGGCAGUGGGUCCCUCACCAGCUGGAUAAAAAAAAAGAGUACAGUCUGAGAUCAACACAGCCUUGCCCUCCAGCAUCAUCAGCAGCAGCAAGAGGAGCGACCCUGCAACAGCUACACUGUACCCCAUCAUCAGGUAAAAUAGGACAGCAAUAGAUCAGGAGGUGGAGCAGGUUGUCCAGUAAUAAGAAGGUUGCAGGUUUGAGCCUGACUUCAAUCAGAGAUUGAUGCUGUUGAGUCCUUGGGCAAGACACUUAACCUGCUUUGCCUGCUGGUGGGGGUCGGAGGGACCGGUGGCGCCUGUGCUCAGCAGCUUCACCUCUGUCAGUGCGCUCCAGAGCAGCUAUGGCUACAUCAUAGCUCAUCGCCAUCAGUGUGUUAAUGUGUGUGUGUGAAUGACUGAUUGUGUUGUAAUGUGCCUUGGGGGGCUGUAGAACCCUAAGAAGGCAUUAUACAAAUACAGACCAUUUACCUAAACAAGUUACUUUUGCUUUACAUUGUCCUUAUGGUGUAUAUAAUGAUUCGCUUCCAUUUUGAAUUUCUA